AGAGUUUGAUCAUGGCUCAGAUUGAACGCUGGCGGCAUGCCUUACACAUGCAAGUCGAACGGCAGCACGGGGGCAACCCUGGUGGCGAGUGGCGAACGGGUGAGUAAUACAUCGGAACGUGUCCUGGAGUGGGGGAUAGCCCGGCGAAAGCCGGAUUAGUACCGCAUACGAUCUCUGGAUGAAAGCGGGGGACCGAAAGGCCUCGCGCUCAAGGGGCGGCCGAUGGCAGAUUAGCUAGUUGGUGGGGUAAAGGCCUACCAAGGCGACGAUCUGUAGCUGGUCUGAGAGGACGACCAGCCACACUGGGACUGAGACACGGCCCAGACUCCUACGGGAGGCAGCAGUGGGGAAUUUUGGACAAUGGGGGCAACCCUGAUCCAGCAAUGCCGCGUGUGUGAAGAAGGCCUUCGGGUUGUAAAGCACUUUUGUCCGGAAAGAAAACCGCUUCUCUAAUACAGAGGUGGGAUGACGGUACCGGAAGAUAAGCACCGGCUAACUACGUGCCAGCAGCCGCGGUA
rnacentral:rRNA from 1 species